CUCAUAACUCACCUUCACUGUGUUUGCCUUUGGCAGCCCACACACUCUUCUCUAGCUCACAAUGAGAUGAGCACAACUUUCGCAAGCCUGUGAGAGGGAACAAAGGAACAAGAAAACUUUUGCUUAGAAGCUCAGUAGACCAGAAAGAGAAUAGAAAAUUAUCAUGAAAAAAGAGCUUUUCAUGUUGACUAUAGCUGCUGUAAAACUGCUAUCUGGUAUAGGUCAAAUUAGUUAUAAAGAAGUGUGUAGGAAGACACAACUUUUCAGUAAAUUGCAUUAGAAACUAAGCAGGUGGGUAGGUCUGUGUGCUGUUAUGCAAGCUGAUUUAGCUGUCGACUUUGAAAAAGCUUAGAAUGGCUAGACCUUCCAAUUACUUUUUCCCGGGUAAUUCCUUCAUGUUUAUCUGUAUGAAGUCCAAGAAGGGCGCUGCUGGAAUCUCAAAUUUGUAUCCGGCCCAUCAGAAGCACAGAUCAUUAACUGCAUAUGAAGGAAACUGAAGAGAGGUCCUAAUUACUGAAAGCAAGUUAUAGGAAGAUUAAUCUGGCAAUUGUGGGCAGAAGAUUAUGGAAAAGUUUCCAAG